CCUACGGGUGGCAGCAGUGAGGAAUAUUGGUCAAUGGACGAGAGUCUGAACCAGCCAAGUAGCGUGAAGGAGGAAUGCCCUAUGGGUUGUAAACUUCUUUUAUAUGGGAAUAAAACAUGGGAUGCAUACCCUCUUGUAUGUACCAGAUGAAUAAGGAUCGGCUAACUCCGUGCCAGCAGCCGCGGUAAUACGGAGGAUCCGAGCGUUAUCCGGGUUUAUUGGGUUUAAGGGGAGCGUAGGUGGAUUGUUAAGUCAGUUGUAAAAGUUUGGGGCUCAACCGUAGGAUUGCAGUUGAAACUGGCAGUCUUGAGUACAGUAGAGGUAGGCGGAAUUCGUGGUGUAGCGGUGAAAUGCUUAGAUAUCACGCAGAACUCCGAUUGCGAAGGCAGCUCACUGGACUCAAACUGACACUGAUGCUCGAAAGUGUGGGUAUCAAACAGGAUUAGAUACCCUGGUAGUC
rnacentral:rRNA from 1 species